rnacentral:rRNA from 1 species
GGUUUAAUUCGAUGCAACGCGAAGAACCUUACCUGGUCUUGACAUCCACAGAACUUUCCAGAGAUGGAUUGGUGCCUUCGGGAACUGUGAGACAGGUGCUGCAUGGCUGUCGUCAGCUCGUGUUGUGAAAUGUUGGGUUAAGUCCCGCAACGAGCGCAACCCUUAUCCUUUGUUGCCAGCGGUUAGGCCGGGAACUCAAAGGAGACUGCCAGUGAUAAACUGGAGGAAGGUGGGGAUGACGUCAAGUCAUCAUGGCCCUUACGGCCAGGGCUACACACGUGCUACAAUGGCAUAUACAAAGAGAAGCGACCUCGCGAGAGCAAGCGGACCUCAUAAAGUAUGUCGUAG